GAGUGGCGAACGGGUGAGUAAUACAUAAGUAACCUGCCCUCAUGAGGGGGAUAACUAUUAGAAAUGAUAGCUAAGACCGCAUAGGUGAAGGGGUCGCAUGACCGCUUCAUUAAAUAUCCGUAUGGAUAGCAGGAGGAUGGACUUAUGGCGCAUUAGCUGGUUGGUGAGGUAACGGCUCACCAAGGCGACGAUGCGUAGCCGACCUGAGAGGGUGGACGGCCACACUGGGACUGAGACACGGCCCAGACUCC
rnacentral:rRNA from 1 species